CUUGAUCACAUUCUAAUACUAGCAUAUUGUUUAGUUUGCAGCUAUGUGAUUGAACCCAUCAUGCACAUCUUAAUUCUGUUUCUACAGAACCACGAUGCUCGUUUGAUUAACUGUUGCACAAAGAAUUCAGAUGAAACCAAUUUACAAGCUUCUGAGACUAUUUCAGAAAUAGUGGGGAGGCGGUUCGUGUCAGGUGUCAUCUUUCAUCCACCGUCAGUAGGAUAGCAUACGAAAUUGAGACAAUUCCCUAUCUCACCCUAGAAAAAUUACUGGUUCUUUCUCUAAUCCUCAGAAAAUUUUUAGUUCCCUAUUUGACAUCCAGUUCAACUUUCAUUUCUUAUACGACACAUUUUCCAUCCGGGAACCGUUAAAUGCCCUGCGAAAAGAUGAUUUUGCCCCUAUAAGUCCCACCACUCUUCUCCCCCCUCCCCUUCU
rnacentral:lncRNA from 1 species